GCUCGCCUCCCUGCUGCUCCAAUGAGGAGCCCCGCCAGCCGGCCGCGAGGCCCCAUUGGCUGAGGCAACGUUCUAAAUUCCACGAGGGCACGCCCACCUCCGCGCGCGGUACGCGCUGUUGUAGUUUCCACUUCACCGAAAAAAAUCUGCCUGGCGACUGAGCAUGCCCAGUUCAACUAGUAGCCUCCAGGCCACACAAUCCUGAAGUUUCAUUGUUUCGCUGCUCUCUCUUUGAGAUUGUAAGAAUAAGAACAGUGUGUGUCUUCAUAGGAAGGAAAAAGAGUAAGAAUGAAUACGUAAACUUUAUAAUGUAAAUAUAUACACAGCAGGUACCUUAUUCAUUUCCUACCCAUAAAGGCUUUUAAUGAAUGUUACAUGGUGGGAAUCUGUAAAGCGUGGGAAGGUACUCUGUACUGGAAGAGCGUGGCAACUUCUAAAGGCCUCAGUUUCCCCCCCUAGAUAUAUAGUGACAACAGUCCCUAAAAUCACUUAGCUCUAAUUUUCUGAAAUCUGUGAUUAUAAAUCACUCACUAAUUCAGCUAACUUCAAACUAGAUGUGAAGACGAAUAGGACAUGUUUGUUACGGAAAUUAGGAAAAGAAAGAACAAGGCAAAAACUGAUUAUUUUAUAUUUGAGACAUAUAUUUGAAUGACACCCGUCAUGUUACACUUUAUGCGUAAUAUUUCUCAAAGUUCUGCAAGGCAUAAAAUGAGCAUUGCAAAAAUAUUUCUGAAUUCAUUUUAUGAGACCAGAUUUACUCUGAUACCAAAACCAGUGAAAGACUUCAAAAGAGAGUUACAGACCAAUAUCACUCAUAAACAUAGACACAAAAGUCGUGAACAAAAUUUUAGUAAAUGAAACUCAACAACAUUUAAAGGGACAAUACAUCAUGACCUGUGGGGCUUAUCUUGGGAAUGCAAAGCUGCUUUUUUAAUAUCUGAGAAUCAAUCAAUGUAAUUGGCAGGAUUAAUAGAAUAAAGGGGGAAAAACAAUCCUUUCAGCAGAUGCAGGAAAAGCGCUAGUGAAUGGGUAAGCAAAUUGUGAUGAGCACAUGCAGUGGAAUACUAUUCAGCAAUAAAAAACAAUAAAAAAUUUUCCUACAUGGAUGAAUAUCAAAAACAAAGUGCUGUACGAAAGAAGUCAAAUACAAAAGACCACACUGAAUGAUUGCAUUCAUAUGAAAUUAUAGAAAAAGCAAAAUUGGGCAAAGUUAGUUUCAGAAUCAUCUUAGCAGGCAAAGCUCACAUCAUAGGAAAAUGUGUUGAAGCCUUACAUUACAAAUAUGGCCAAAUCCACUUUGGUAACACAGAGGCUGCAAAUAUGUAUUAAAAAUAUCAUGUAUUAAAUAUGUAUUAAAAAAGCAAUGAAGUUUAAUAUUUCACUUUUUCUUUAGUAAUUUUCAGAAUACAUUAAUUGAUCUAGUACUCUCCAGAGGUGGUUGAUUACUUUCUUUUUUGGAACAUCUUUAUGAACUCAUGGAUUUUUACAUAUUUGGUGUGCAUCAGUGUAUUGCUAUCAUUAUUAUUACCUUUUUAAUGCUCCUAUUACCACAUCUUUAGCCAAUGCAUACCCUUUCAAAUUAGUGCUUGUGUCCUUUUGACAUGAUCUUAAUCAUUUUUGAUAGAUUCCCUGUUCUUGGGCAUUCAGUGAAUGACAAUAGUAUACUGAAACGAAUUAAGAUAAAAACCAAUUGCUUAG
rnacentral:lncRNA from 1 species